UACGAAGGGUGCAAACGUUGCUCGGAAUCAUUGGGCGUAAAGCGCACGUAGGCGGCUUCGCAAGUCGGAUGUGAAAUCCCUCGGCUCAACCGAGGACGUGUAUCCGAAACUGCGAAGCUUGAGUACUGAAGAGGAUCGCGGAAUUCCCGGUGUAGAGGUGAAAUUCGUAGAUAUCGGGAGGAACACCAGUGGCGAAGGCGGCGAUCUGGGCAGUUACUGACGCUGAGGUGCGAAAGCGUGGGGAGCAAACAGG
rnacentral:rRNA from 1 species